rnacentral:rRNA from 1 species
UACAGAGGUGGCAAGCGUUGUUCGGAAUUACUGGGCGUAAAGGGCGCGUAGGCGGUUCGUCAAGUCCUGUGUGAAAUCCCCCGGCUCAACUGGGGAACUGCACAGGAAACUAGCGGGCUUGAGUUCGGGAGAGGGAAGCGGAAUUCCGGGUGUAGCGGUGAAAUGCGUAGAUAUCCGGAGGAACACCGGUGGCGAAGGCGGCUUCCUGGACCGACACUGACGCUGAGGCGCGAAAGCCAGGGGAGCAAACGGG